AAAAGAGUUGGUGAUCGGGUAGACUAAUCAGAGUCGGGUUUUUUUGGCUCUCUCUCUCUUCUUGUAGCUUGUUACAAGGUUUCUGGAUACACCGGACAUUAGUCAGAUCUUUCUAAACUCCGACUAUAACGCUAUAUGUUUUUUUUUUCACAUUCUAUUUUUCCUCGUUUUCUAAAGCGAUUGUCCAUUUUACUGCAGUUUUCUGUGAGCGUAAAAAUUGCAAGGAGAAAAUACUCAUUGGCUAAUAACACGUGCUGUGUGUCAGUUUCCCUCUGUGAACAGUUCAGUACAUUUAUCUCGGGAAAACCUCGUCUUGUGAAAAUAAACACACCAGGGAGGAAUACGCAAACGCCAGGUCAGCAAGAGUAAUAGAAAUGUGGAGCAGAACGUGCGCUUUAUUUCUAGUUUAAGUACAACAUAUUCUCUGUUAUUAUCUAGCCGUCUAGGAAGGAAUAAAGGGUAUUGACCUUUUUCGUUUUCUCAGUAAAGUUAGUAUGAAGUGCCCAGAAAAAAGUGUGAAAGAUGAUGGAAACUUUUCGACUCCAGUUGAGAUUACUGGCCGAAGCGUUGCCGUGAUGACCGUUGUAUCUGGCGGACUGUCUAGCUCAUUCUGUGACAAAGGUGUUCAGGUUAGUGAUUGUCAGAGAACAGACAGCUAUGAACGGAUUACUGCUGGAGGUCUUAAAUCACGAGAUGCAGAAAGGAUUUUGUGGCGGCAAGAUAGCGAGCGAAGUGAUUCGGUGCGAUCCGCCGAUGCCCAAACUUCUGCCGGCCACAGCAGCAGAAGAUCGGCCCGUCGUAGCAGCCACCGCCUGAGACGGUCUGUUUCGGCAAGGGAAGGGGAGCCCGUGCGAGUCAGGCCUAAAGUAAGGAGGAGUAUCAGCGAGAGAGGAGAACAUCUUAAUCGACAUCACAGGCACCAUCGCCGGUCGUCCCAGCGCGGAAGUCAGCGCAGUCGACGGAUGUCAGAUUCGGGUAUUGGCAAUCUAAAUCGUCCUCCAUCCCAAAGCAAUAUCAAAAAACAACAAUGUUUCUUCUAUGAAAGGAAAUGGAAGGAUAGCAGAAACUGUAGCUGUCGAGUUAGGCCUAGUUGAAGCCCCAGGGGUGAGCCUGAAAGAAACGCGAAGACGACAGAUAGUAUUUGCAGUCGUCUUAAUUUCUUUGGCAAUUCUCACAGCAAGUGUCUUGCUGGUAGCUAUAACACUGUUCAUUUCACCAUCAGCAGAUAAUGUCAUUCGAAAAGAAAAUCAAGAAAUCUAUCGUGUAUGGUCUUCCACCUUCACGCCACAAGACGGCGUUCAGGGUGCUUUCUUCAACCAAAGUCUUAACACCACCGAGAGACCAGGAUGAUUAUUGGUUCUCACAACAAAGUAGUGGAUUUAAUUUAAGAAAAGAAUAUUUUAAACUGUAGAGAAUUACUUGUUAAACACAGGCAGGUAUAUCAAUAAGGUAUACUGUGUUUUUACAACGAUAUCAGAUUUAUUACAUUGCUUAAUAGCAUAUUCGUGGCUUUUUAGAUGCGUUUAGCACAUUAUUGAAUGUUGAAGUGCCAUCUAGUGGUUUUAACGCAAACAAACGUUGUAAAUUAAAAUAGUGAAAUUAUGGUGUGUUUUAUUUUCAUGUAUAGAAAUCUGUAUAUAUAUAUCGGUGUCUAUGGGUGCUAAACUAAAUAAACGUAGAUAAUUAACAUAGCGAUAGAUAUUAGAGCUAAUAAAAUAUUACGAUUAUUUUUAACUCUGAGAAAACGUUUGUAAUUUGUAGAUAAGAGUAAGUACUUGAUGAUGUGGCAAUUUUUUCGGGUAUAUUAUCCCUAACUGACAGUAUAUUGUAAUGUCAUUCCAAUUUUUUGUAGCUAAAAACUUAAUUGUUCAACAGUCUAUCUGAUUGAUUUACAUAUUUCCUAUUGUAGUUUACUCAUUACGAGUUUAUCGAGUGUCUUUAAAUACUAGUUUUUUAUUUAUCACUUUCGUUGUUCUGUAACUUUAGUGGUUUUUGUUUGAAUUCGAAAAUAGGAAACAUUUUUCUGUUUAUUUUAUAUUUUCUUAGCAGUAAUGAUAUUGAAUAAAUAACAUAUUCCGAUUAAUAACGAUGAAAGAAAUUCCGUACAAAGAUAUAUUUCUUCUUAACUUCUGACAAAACUACAUUUUGGACUUGAAAUAGAAAAAAAAAAGACUUUGAGAAGCAGUUUUAAAAUAAUUUUAUCAAACAAUGUUGAAAGGAAUAAAAAAAUGUAAAAAAAUCUUUAUUUCCUGAAAAAAAUCUUCAAUAUUUUUAUAAUUAUUGUGAACGAUCUGCGAACUUAAUCAUUGUAUUUACAUUAUACUCUGGUUCUAUGGAUUAUAAGGUGGAAACAAAGAAAGUUAUUUAUUUUAUAUUUAUUUGUCUUGGAAUUCUUUUCGAGGUUGUAUUGAUAAUGUUCAUUGUUUUAUCAAACUCUUGAAAAUUAUUACAAUUUCAAUUGUUAUUCAGUGAGCUACAAAAAUAUAUCGGUAGACGUUUCACAGUAGAAGAAAAAUCUUUAUUAUUUCAUCAUUUUUAAAUUCUAAAUCUCAAAAUCAAGUUUUUUCAAUUACUCUGAAAUACAACUCUAAUUGUAAAACAAAAUUCAUUUUAGUUUUGUUCUGAUGGCAAAAAGGAAAUAUAUAUGAGUGGGCCGAUUCAAAUACUGUCCAAGUAUCCUUUUUUUUCCCUCGCUGACCAAAAUAUCAGUACAUUGUCAAUAACUAUAAAUGAAAAUGUUGUUUGUGUCAUUUAUUUGAGAAUUCACGAAUCACUUUAAGUUAUUUUUACUAAUGGUGUAAUCUUACAUCAUAAAAAGGAAACAUACAUCUGAGGGUAACUAGUGUGCCACCUAUGUUUGACCACUAAGAUGUUCGUCAUACCUCCACUUCAACACCUGACAAAUGCCCUCUUUAGCAAUUGACAUAUUCAAUAAACAUUAAACUAGAUCAUUUCAAUCCACAAACAGGUCGUUUUGUGCUAGUACAAAAGCUGUAUGUUAGCGUGUAUGUUUAUUGAUGUUAGGUUAAAAUACUCGUCGUGAAAAUAUUUAUAUUAAGAAUAUUGUAAAACGAUAGUUUUUAUAUUAUCUUAAAUUAAUGCCAGGUGAUGUUUUGUUUUUUUUUGCUUCAAAAACAAAUUACUUAUUAAGACGAAUUAAGUAAGGGUUGUCUUUUCUGGUUGUUUGAUUAUUCGAUAGAAAUAUUGAAUUUACUUUUUAUGUUUUCUUUUUCUGAUUCAUUGUAAAAUAAUGACUAGGAAUGUCUUUGUAGUAUUUGUUCACAAGAAAGUAAUUUGGUUACAAGAGGAAUUGGCAAAGAUGCCCAUGCUUUCCAAUGCAUCUUCCAGAUGUUUGAGUGGAAGCAGAAGUUGGAUACUGUCCAAUUUCAUUGCUCAAGAUGUGUACAAUAUUUUUGAACAAUACAUGUGCAUCAAUGUCAUUUUUUAGUAUAGUUACAUGUAGGUUUGAAUCAGUAUGUUAAAUCUAGUUACAACCCGUGUAAAUAGGAUAAAUAA